UGUGAAUGCAGCCUUAAGUAGGAGAAUAAGACCAUCAGGACUAUCCUGAAAUUGCAUCUACGGUGACCAUGUCUUUGGACACCUAGAGGGACAAGGACAGAGAAGAGAAAUGUAGGCUCUAGUCACCAUCAACAGAAACCAGAGGGGAGAACGUUUUUACAUCUUGGUGGAGAUCUCAUAGUGAUGAAUAGAACUCCACAGAUGGAGCCCUCAGCAGAGCCGCAUCGCCAACUGGUGGAGUCCACAUGUGGCCAAAUAGCAUGAAGCCGGAUGGGCACCCCAUACCCCCUAGACAAGAUGAUGGUCCUAUUGGAAGACCUUUGACGGCUGCGCUGGAGCCAAUUGCAAAUCAUCUUCCUACUUAGCAACACAAGAAGGAGGCAGCUGGUCUGGAGGAGAAUCCAGCACUGAAAAACGAUCAUCUGUCCAAUCAACAAUGAAGAGAGACCGAGACAAGAUGGCCGACAGGAUCAUAAACCUCACCCUAAAGAUACUCUUCCUGCUUACUGGAGAGGAUUACACAGUAGUGAAGAAGUCCUCUAGUGGGCGCUGUCGGGCCCUUGUGUGUGAAGGACGGGGAAGAACCCUGAGCCCAAUCCCAGGGCCCCCACCUCACUCCCU